UUAAUUGAGAUUUGCAUGGAGUCGGAACGUUUGCCUACGUUUGCCGCUAGGGGCGCUGUUCCAACUGCAUAUUUUAUAAAUUUAAGUUG
rnacentral:pre_miRNA from 1 species